rnacentral:lncRNA from 1 species
ACACACACACACAUAAUCUUAUGUAAUGAUUUUCCUUCAAAAAUGUUUUUAUAUACUUCAUCCCAUUUUUUUUAACCUUUUCCAGGUUUGGAAAUAUAUUUUUAGAAAAAUGCAUAGACUGUAUAGUUACUAUCUAGAAAGGAACAUCCAGCAUUCAUACUGGAGUGGAGACACUCGCAGUCUCAGAAGCCCCUGUGAAGUUCUUCCCCAUCCGCUUAUCCUUCCCAGACUCCAUCAUCCUGAGUUGUCACUUUACUGUCAGGCUUUCACUGUAAUCAGUGUCAGUUAGCUUCAUGUGAUUGUUGAAGUCUGAGCCCGUGUGUGUAAAACCCCAAAGCUACAGGAAGUGGCUCUCUUUAACUAGAUUCUGAAUUUUAAUGUUUUACUGUGUUUUCUUUGUGCCUUAAGUUCUACUAAUGUAUGUAUGAUUCAUAUGUACAUGUAUGUGGGUGUAUAUAUUUGCUGAACCAUUGA